ensembl:snRNA U6 U6 spliceosomal RNA
UUGCUUCAGUAGCACAUAUAUUAAAACUGGAAUGAUACAGAGAAGGUUAGCAUGCCCCCUGCACAAAGACGACAUGCAAAUUCAUGAAGCAUUUUACACACAC